ensembl:lncRNA novel transcript, sense intronic to EIF3E
UUUUUUUUUUUUUUUUUUUUUUUGUAACAACAAUGUAUCUUUAAGUGGUGUAAUUCUUCCAGACUUUCAUGAUGUUCUCUCCAUCUGGGUUGUCUUCCACAGCAUUGACAAUUCUUUCCAUAGAGUACCAUGGGCAUUGAGGCUUAAAGGUCCUUAUUAACUCCUAAUUGAGAGGCUCAAUUAAAUGUAAUGUGUUUGCGGGCAAGUAGACCACUUGAACACCUUUAGUGUUGAACUUACAGACUUCUGGUUGGCCAGGGGAUUGUCCAGUAUCAGAAAAACCUAAAAGGCAGUCUCUUACUGGCCAGGUACUUGCUGAAUUCAGGAAAAAAGCACUGAUGGAACCAAUCCAGAAAAAGGGUUAAAGUUGUCCAGUCUUUUUUGUACAACCAAAAGACUGGCAACUGGUGUUUAUCCUUUCCCUUCAAGCUCGGGGGUUAGCAGGUUUAUUGAUAAGGGCAGUCCUGAUCAUGACUUCUUGUGCAUAAGGCAGUAGAGUUAGCCUAUUUCUUACUGCCUUAAAUCCUGGUGCUCUCUUCUCUUUCUUACAAAUAAGUGUACUUUUUCCCAGAAUAGGGCAGUUUUGUCUGCAAUUAAAAACUUGUUCAUGCAGACAUCCGUUCUCUUCAGUGAUUUUCUUAAUGUCUGGGAACUCAUCUGCUACCUCUUACAGCAGAAGCUGCUUCUCCUAUCUUGACACUUUUUAAGCCCAUCCUCUUUAAAAUUAUCAAGCCAUCCUUUGCUGGCACUAAAUUCUCCAGCUUUAGACCUUCACCUUCCUUUGGCUUUUAGUUGUCAUAUAAUGACCACUAUGUCUUGAACCAUAUUAGAGUCUAUAGCUAUGCCUUUCUUAUAACAAUCCUGCACUCACAUAAAAAGUGCAUUUUCAAUAUGAGAUAAAAAUGUAUUUCACAAAAAGUACAAGAUUUCUGUACCUGCUGGCAUAGCUGCAGCAAUAGCUUUAUACAUUUCCUUUUUUUUUUUUUUUUACAAUAGUUCCUACGCUAGAUUCAUUUAUCUUGAAAUGGCAGGCAAUCCAGAUGCACACCUCAAUUUACAGCACAUAUCAAGCAAUUCAGCUUUUUCUUGUAACGUCAUGACUUCUCUCUGCUUCUUGGGACCACUUCCAGGACCACUAGUGGCAUUUUUUAUGGGCUCCAUGGUGUUAUGGUAUGGCACUAAACGAAAAAUACAUGAGAACCAUGAAAGAUCACUUUUUACUGCAAUAUGCAAUUUAUUGGAGAGAUGAACUGCUCACACAGAGAUGGUAGCAUCACAUGGCAUUUGAAGUGGUUAUUCACCAGAACUCACUGCAAUAGCAACAAGAGGUGGCUAUGAAAGUAUUACAGUGAUACAGUAUGAACUACAGUUAAUUUUAUGCAUGAGUGGUUUAAUACUGCAUCUUUACAUUUGUUUACAUUUCUCUCGACUGGGAAUGGGACCAUGUCUGUAAGUGUUUGUGUAAGUUUUGAAAAUUUUUAACUUUUUAUAAUAGAUUUGUGUGUAUUUUAUGGUAGUAAAUGAUAAAAUAGAUGGGUAGCUACAUAUUUUUAUACAUUCAUGACAACUUUAUUUUAAUUUCGUCAAUAUUUCUCAGCUACAUUGUUGUCUGUGAGUUUUUUCAAACUGUGAUGUGUUCAAGGGUCAAUUGUAGUUGGUCAAUGCCUGUCCUAGACUGUCAUUUUCAUUUAUUUAUGUAUGAUAUCUAUCUGGUUCACUACUGAAUCCCUAAUGUCUGGCUCUUAUUAGGCCCUCAAUAAAUUAUUGAAUGAAUGAAUCAAUGAAUGUUCAGAAUGGCAUAAUGGAAAAAAUUGGACUUGAAGGUAAAAGGUUAAAAAAUGUAUCUUUUGGAAAACUUUAGUUUUCUUUUAUUAUCAGGUGAUCAUGACCAAAAUCAUGUAUUUCUUAUUCUCCAAUUUCCUAAUGCGUCAAAUGGCAGUAUUGACUGCUUUGUGUGCCUGGCUAUUUGGGAUUAAGUACCAAUAAAUAAAUUUUAAAAACCACAAAACCCA